rnacentral:rRNA from 1 species
UCAGGAUGAACGCUGGCGGCUGCCUAAUACAUGCAAGUCGAACGCACAGCGAAAGGUGCUUGCACCUUUCAAGUGAGUGGCGAACGGGUGAGUAACACGUGGAUAACCUACCUCAAGGUUGGGGAUAACAUUUGGAAACAGAUGCUAAUACCGAAUAAAACUUCGUAUCGCAUGAUACAAGGUUAAAAGGCGCUACGGCGUCACCUAGAGAUGGAUCCGCGGUGCAUUAGUUAGUUGGUGGGGUAAAGGCCUACCAAGACAAUGAUGCAUAGCCGAGUUGAGAGACUGAUCGGCCACAUCGGGACUGAGACACGGCCCAAACUCCUACGGGAGGCUGCAGUAGGGAAAUCUUCCACAAUGGGCGAAAGCCUGAUGGAGCAACGCCGCGUGUGUGAUGAAGGCUUUCGGGUCGUAAAGCACUGUUGUAUGGGAAGAACAGCUAGAGUAGGGAAUGACUUUAGUUUGACGGUACCAUACCAGAAAGGGACGGCUAAAUACGUG